GACGAACGCUGGCGGCGUGCUUAACACAUGCAAGUCGAACGGAAAGGCCCCUUUGGGGGUACUCGAGUGGCGAACGGGUUUGUAACACGUGAGUAACCUGCACUUGACUGCGGGAUAACUUCAGGCAACUGGGGCUAAUACCGGAUAGGAAUCCUUGCUGCAUGGUGGGGGUUGGAAAGCUUCGGCGGGUGUGGAUGGACUCGCGGCUUAUCAGCUUGUUGGUGGGGUAGUGGCUUACCAAGGCUUUGACGGGUAGCCGGCCUGAGAGGGCGACCGGCCACAGUGGGACUGAGAUACGGCCCAGACUCCUACGGGAGGCAGCAGUGGGGAAGAUUGCACAAUGGGCGGAAGCCUGAUGCAGCAACGCCGCGGGCGGGAUGACGGCCUUCGGGUUGUAAACCGCUUUCAGCAGGGGCGAAGCUUGUGGUGACGGUACCUGCAGAAGAAGCACCGGCUAACUACGUG
rnacentral:rRNA from 1 species